AUUUUGAGCGUGUAGUCCUACCAUGUGAGUGAAAAACAUACCAAAGAAUGAGUGUAUAGAAAUAAGAGUGUAGCCGUCAAACGCGCACGUGGAGAAAACAACAUAAACAAAGAGCAACGAUCAACAACAAUCAUCAACAAGCAACCAGAACAAGAACACGGUUAAGCGGUUAGAUUCGUCAUCGCGGUGAAUAAAAAGUGCCUGCUAUCAUUGGUGUACCGGAACCGAAGCCGAUCAAGGACGAUAUCCCGGAUUUGUUCAGUGAAAAGCUCCCAGACAACUGAUUGUGGGUAACACGUAGCAGCAUCGACCGAGCCAGCACUGACAAGAUUCAACCUCUGCUGAAGCAACGGUUGAUGUUACCCAACAAACAUUUUUUGCUGAACAACCGCUGAAACAUUGUUUAGUUCUAAUUUUAAAUCAGCUAUCUUGCUGAAAGAAGGCAACCCAAAUUCAGAGAGAAGCUGCUGUUCAGCCCUUAAACAUCGAGAUCUGGAGAAAUUAAUCAGCGAAGAUGACAUGAAACCACAUGAAACGUCAAUUGACGGAGCAACAAAAAAAAACAAAAAUAAUGUUGACCGAUGUAUGUCCGAUGUUUGCCAGCUAAUUUUCCCCUCCCGUGUUAUUUUUUCUUCAUUUGAACUUGUCUCGAACUUUGAACCUACGACUUGUUGGUCUCAUGCCGCAGAAGGCAGAACCAACCAUGCAUUCUGCGAAGGAACAGAAAAGUGUCGCUCUUAAGCGACCAAAAUAUUUCUCAACCAAGGUCAAUUUCAUAUGAAGAAAUUGAAAUUGCUACGAGAAUAAAAUGUUAAUUUCCCGGCAAGGCCAUUUCAACAUGCAAAAUGAGAAAUUUCGAAUCAUUAGACGAUUCACAAGAUAAUUAUUUUGAUUCGUCAUGAAUAACAAAAAGUUUGGUAUUGCUGAAAGACGCUUUCGAAGCUACCCUUGUACAGCUGACGGCUGUCAAAUUUGAAGGUGUCAAAAAUGGUUGGACAAAGGCUGAACGAGUUAUUCUUCAGCCAAUUUUCCCCUACUUUCUAUUGGCUGAAAUAAAACUUCCUUAUACGCUGAAACAACGCUGAAAUAUUUCUUUCUUCAGCCAGAAAGCUGAAACAGCAAUCAACACCUCAAAACAGCAUACGAUCAGAGAAUUGGCGUUUUUAAUCAGCAAAAAUGUUUGUUGGGUAGCGUUGUGCUGAGAGAAGGAAGUAGAGCUCGAAAGAAUAUUUUAAGCAGCGCGAACCAGGUAGUAGGAACACAUACGGAACUGCUGCCCUGGUAUUCACCCAUCCGACGUUGGGAAUUGGAGGUGCAGGAAGAAAGCGACCCCUAGCGGGUCGUUUUUUCGGAGCUGAGCCAAACGCUUUUCGGGACUCGAUUUUCGCCAUCUUGGUUUUGCGAGUCCCGUUUUUGCGAAAUCAAGCUGCGGACGUUGCAAGAGCCAGCCGGAAGUAGACGGAAGUGCUCCGGGCAGCUGUGGUACGCCCGUCGAAGCAGUGCAGCCAGGCAGGGUUGCCAGUUCUACAGAUACGACUGUGAUAAUAAGAAAGGAAGCUGUGAUACCCCUGUGCCGUCCAAGCAGCUGUGAUAUGAUUGUUGUUAUUGUUUUGAUGUUAUGGUAGGAACGGGCCCGUGAGUAAUAAUGUAAGCUAGCUUAAGUUUUUAAAAUGUCGUAAUAGUAAAUAAUUGUAAUUGCUACCGAUUUGGGUUUUGAGUGUUUGUGUUUUGGGUAAUAGUUAGCCGUGCAGCACACACUGAGAGUCAGUGGUGCUCAAACUGUUUCAAUUUUACCAUUUUGAAUUCACCUAACAAAAUAAGUACACGGAAAAUAAUAAAAAGGUAAAAUUUACCGAGUUAGCAAAGGUGAAGAACGCUCGUGAAAGCCAAAAAGGUAACUUCUACCUCUUCGAGGUGAAACUCACCUCACAGCGAGGUAAACUUUACCUGAAUCGAGGUUGGAAAAAAGGUACAAUUCACCGAGAAAAAAGGUGAAUCCAAAAAAGGUAAAUCUUACCUCGUAGCGAGGUGAAGUUCACCUGAAUUGAGCUCAAUAAAAAAGUAUAAUUCACC